GACAAACAGGCCAAAUUAAGUUAUAUUGGUAUAAAAGGAGGUAAAAAACUUAUUGUGUGAGAAAAUUAAUUUUUUAUAAGGAGGUGGAAUUUGUAUAUAAAAAUUUUUGUUGUUUAUUUCUUUUUGUUUGAUGCCUCGAAAAUUAAAGGAGAGACCGGGAUUAGAUACCCCGUUAUUUUUUUUGUAAAUUUUGAUUUGCAGUUUACCGGAGUAUUACGGGUUGGAUAAAUUAAUCAUGUUGUUAGUGAAAUAAAUUUAUUUAGUUACUUAAAACUCAAAAAACUUGGCGGUGCCUUAAUUCCUUCCAGGGGAACCUGUCCUAUAAUCGAUGAUCCACGUUUUAUCUUACUUUUUUUAGGGGAUAUAUUUCAAUUCUUCAGUUUGUAUACCGUCGUCGUCAGAUUACCUUUGAGAGUUAAAAAGUUGUCGGUUAAAGUAAGAGAGAUUCUCUAUUUUUAUUGGUAGGAAUAGGGGUCUCAGUUUUUGAUGUCAGAUCAAGGUGCAGCUAAUGAAAAAGUAGAGAUGGGUUACAAUAUAUAGUUUAUAUUAUGGAUAUAAAUUUGUAAUAGUUUAAUGAAAGUGGACUUGGGAGUAAUGUAAAAUUUUUAGUAAAUUAGAAUGUUUAUGUGAUAAAGGUACUAAGGUGCGC
rnacentral:rRNA from 1 species